UUUUCAGCGACCGACGACAUUCUGUGUAAAAUUCGCUUACCAGGACUAAUUAGAGUAAUUAAAGCUCGUUUCUUUAUACGUGUAAACACUAAGAGUGAGAAACCGUAAAACACUUUUGUUUUUGUGAUUUGAAAUGUUUUUCUUACUUAUAAUUUUACCAUCAGAGGAUUUUGGAUUUCUGGCGAUUCGUGACAUUGUGUGUGACCUGGGUAUAGAUCAAGAUUCAAGAAUUACAGGCCUUCACAGAUAUCAGUGCAACAGGGGACAACUUUCUUUACCAGGAGACAACAGGAACUGAAGAGAAGUUACAAGUAUACAGGAAAGCCCCACACACCAAUACCUGCUGUUUGAUUCCCAACACCCAGUACCAAUUAGGUGUCAUCAGGAUACUACACCACUGGGCAGAAAGCUGUGGACUGUGUUGAAAUGCAACCAUUUCGACCCAGGAUUUGUAAGCAACAUGUGUUCACUUCUGGAGGGAAUGCUGGCGUGUACUGCUGCCUCUGCUCCCCAUGGUCUGAGUUUGUUUUGACUGUUUGAUUGCUGUUGCCUUUUCUGGUCAUUUUUGACUGCAAGGAUUGAGGACCGUUCAGGUGACCGUUUGUGUCUAACUGGGGAAGUCUGGAAUUCAGUGAUCUCUGCUGGCUGGUCAACCUGACACUUCCAAACACGGCUUCCGACUGCACUCUGUUUUCACAGAGGGAAAUCAGCAACUCCAUUCUAACUAAAGGAUCAACUGGCACUAUUUUAUCCAAAGACUGAAUAAGCAGCUCGGUGAUUCUCUGCACCUAACUGAUUAACCUUGCGCUUCAUAACGUGGCUUUUGAUGACGUUCCAUCUUCUCAGAUUUACCCUGGAGUUUGCAUUCAACAAUGUGGAUUAGCCGACUUUUCAUGUAGAUUAUAUUCUAUUUUAUUCAUCAUCCAGCGACAUCGACAUCCAAUAUACUGCGUUGGAAUUUUUUUCAUUGCGACCCCGUGUCACUGAACCACCACUGACCCUUCGAUUGCACCAGGAUAUUAUUUGCUAUCCUCAGCAGAAGUACAUCCAUCGUGGGUCACAACGGAAUUAUAUCUACGAUGACACUGGUCCAAUCGUUCUGGUCGUCCCCUCUGCGCCCACCAAAGAAAUCAAUACGGGCUGGCCGAUAUCGCCCGGACUACCAGCAUUGAAUCUGCUACGACUGAUCUUACUUUUGGUUUAUUUAGUAUUCACUCGUUAAUAAACAAAGGACCUCUUAUUUAUGAUCAUCUGAAUGACAGUAAGUUUGACUUUUUGUCUCACUGAAACAUGGCAACAAUCCCAUGACUUUUCCCAGCUUAAUCAAUCUGUCCCUCCUUGCUUUACAUACACCUGUCAGCCUCGCAUGUCUGGCUGUGGUGGAGGGCUUGCGAUACUUUAUUAUGAGAAGUGGAAAGCUUCUCUCAUGAGCAUGGCUCUGUAUGAAUCAUUUGAGUCAACAGUUUUACAAAUUAAUGGUCCUGUUCCUACUGUUGUAGCCACUGUUUAUUGCACACCCAGGAGCAAUACUAGUUUUUGUUGUUGUUUUUUUUAGUGAUUUUUCUGUAUUCCUAACUUUACUGAGUUCUACAUCACAAUGUUAUUAUAUUGGGCAAUUUUAAUAUACACAUGGACAAAUGUCAACAAUACUCUCACUAGGGAUUUUUUUUUUCAUGCCUGGACAGUUUUGGAAUACAGCAAUUUGUUGAUCUUCCAACUCGUAGUGAAGGCCAUAUUCUUGACCUUAUUUGUUGUUCUGGUGUAACACCUUCCAAUUGUCAUGCUUCAGUUUUGGCCAUAUCAGAUCAUAAGUUAAUAUCAUUCAGUGUUAACUUUAUGGUUGAAAAAACCAACUUGGGUCGUUCCAUGGGACUGCACAGUGUACUUGAUACAACUGCUGCACCUUAGAUACAAGUAAGGGGUGUCGCCUAGAACGGUUAUACACUAAAACCAGACUUAAUGUUUAUAAAGAUAUGUACACAGAUCAUAUGCUCUCUUAUAAGAACGCUCUUUUAACUGCUAAAUCUGAUUACUUCUCAAAUAUAAUUGGGUUAGGUAACGGGAAUACAAGGUCCUUGUUUAAUACAGUAAAUAAUAUCCUACAGCCUCAUACUUUUCCUUCUCAUCUAUAUUCUAGUGAUCUAUGCGAUAAUUUAAUGACCUUUUUUAAUAAUAAAACUGUAAAUAUUCAACAAUUAACGUCUCAAAAUAAUGUGACAUUUGUUCCGUCAUAUUUACCUUCUCGUGAUUCUCAAUUGUCACUAUUACAGUUUUGAACUUUCUUCUAUUGAUGAAAUAUCAGGUUUUAUCAAACAAUCUAAGUCUUCCACUUGUCAGUUAGAUCCACUUCCCACUCACCUGGUCAAAGCUUGUUUAUCUUCUCUAUCUGGUAUAGUAACUGAUAUUAUACACUCGUCUCUCACCUCUGGUGCGGUUGCUGUAAUCACUCCAAGACUUAAGAAACCAGGAGCUGACUCUAAUAAUUUUGCCCUUUCUCUCAAUUUUGCCCUUGCUUCUCAGGUUCAUUGCCAUCUCUUAAAAAAUAGCCCGUUUGAAAAAUUCCAAUAUGGUUUUCGACCUUUUCAUAGUACAGUGACUGCCAUGGUAAAGGUUGUUAACGAUCUGCUGAUGUACUUAUUCUACUCGAUUUAACGGCGGCCUUUGAUACAAUUUGAUAGAUUACUCUCUGUAGGAAUUACCGGUGUCCCUCUUAGUUGGUUCAGAUCUUUUCUCUCUUGGCACACUCAAUUUGUUCAACUUUAAAAAAAAUUUAGAUCAUAUGUUUCACCUGUUAGUCCCUCUGUUUUUAUUUAUUAUUUAUUUACUACCCCUUGGUAAUAUUUUUAGGAAAUAUUGCAUUAGUUUUCAUUGCUCUGCUGAUGACACCCAGCUUUAUUUGUCCUCUAAACCAAAUUCUACCCUUCUUUCCUCCUCUCUUUGGGCGGCUGGGAAGACAAAUUUUGACCCAGGAAAAACCCUGAGUGUACAAACUGGGAGACUUGCACCCUUGACAGUUUAGCUCCUAAUUCUGAUGGGUGUUUCCUCUUACGGUUAUAGUAAGUAGAUCUUGCCCAGCUGACAGAUGUGCCAGUGCUGUGAUUUGCACGUCUGACUGGCAGGCAAUAUGGGCACUGCCAAAGAGAGCAACGAGGCUGGAACAGUAACCGGUACCUGACCGAAGAGCAUUACAUGAUGUGUGGAGGGGCCCGAAAUAGCAGGGAUGGCUAUGGAGGAAGAGACAGUAGGCGCAGGUCUGGUGAUCCUACGAGAGGCUGGGGUUUUUCUCCCCAACGGCGGCAGGAGCGAAGGUGGAUUAGAUCGGGAGAGUGGCAUAGUUAUGUCGGUCCUUUCCUUCAACAGCUUUGUCCCUGCCAUGCUAGGUGUGGGCACAUAUUGCAUGAGGGGGUAGUCCGGCAGAGGGAGCACUGCUGGCUGGUGUGGUGCUGGAGGUAGCUCUGCGGAAGAGACGGAGGUGGUCUUUGUGAUGGUAAAUGACCAUUUUGUAGCAUGGAGUUUGCAACCACAGCAGUUUCACCAGUACGUACUGAUGUGCCUGUUGUGCUGAGUACCGAUGUCUUGUUGAGCCGGUGCGUAACGCUUAGCCAUCUUGAUCCUCUGGAUGACUGCGGUGGCAACAUCCAUCAUCCCUUUUCGUCCGACAGAAGAGGGUGUUACCCCUGUGGGUCCUGUACAGCUGAUUAAACUUCUGGGGCUGCUUAUCAUGUUCCUGCCUGCAUUCCAGGCCUCAAGGAUUUUGAACCGCUGCUCAGUGGUAAGUGAAAGCUUGUUUUCAGCAAGGCAGAUCUCCUCCAGCAAGGAGCAAAACGUUUCAAGCUUUUGAAAGCCAGGAAGAGGGUUAGGACUGCAGGCAUCCUCCUGUAAAAAAUACAAUUCAGAAUACAGGAGGUUCAAAUGUGUAUGUUGUCUUGUUGUUCUUUAAUGAAUUUUAUAGCAAUUGGCGUAUUGUUUCAUUCUAACAGAAACUAGGCUACUCACAAAUGCCGGUGGGUUUACAGUGGAGGUCAUCGGCCUUGAGAGUGAUGCGAGACGGGGCAACAUCCAGAACGGCAUCUCUUAUCUCCACGUUGCUGUGGUACGCCUCAUCGGCCUCGCUUGUAUCGGGGUGUCCAGGCUGAACUAUCUCCUCGUUGACUAUGUCCUGGAGACAGAAGGGCCCAGAUUCGCCCGUGCCCUGGCUGAAGAGGUACUACAACCCAAGCAGCUCCUCGGGAAUUCACGUCUGCAGGGGCUCGGAAAUUCUCCUCCACGGUUUCUCUGAACAGCUUCCGACACAGACUGUUGAGGCAGUCGAUCAGCGGAGCGGAAUAUACCCUGUGGUGCCGUCCUUUGCCACCAAACGCUGCAUCCGAGCUCCUGUCCUCGUUCCACCGUGCAAUGCCGUUUAUCAGGUAAACCUGAAAGGGCCGAGCUGCACAGAGGGGACUUGAAGGUCACAAAGUGUAUUAGAACAAAUAAUAUCUUUUGUUUAAAAGUAUACAGACAGUAUUUGCGGAAUCCUUCCAGGCUGUUGCUUCCAUUCAGACAUUUGUAAUACGGCACGUCCACAUCGUUGAUGGUCGUGCUACGUGCUACUCUGUACAUGCUCAUGUCUGGUGGAUCCUGGAUGCACUCCAGGCGUCGCUGCUGACUUGCCCACACCUCAUCAAUGGCCUCUAAAUACACAAAGUCCAUAGAUUAAUACAUUGUAUAAUGUUCACUUGGCAUUCCACACCGUCAAAACUGAACUUUAUUUUUUUAUACAAGGUCUUUGACUCCCCAGGUGUUUUGAAGAGGCUCACUCCACUUUUGUCCAGCCCAGCGGGACCUUUCAGCUAUUCUUGACUAGUUAAGUGUAGACAGUUCCGUCCUGUUAUUGGUCCAGAAUCUACAAUUUCAACGAGAUUAAUAUCAUUAGUCGUGGGAGCUUUAGACAGGGCUGUUUGGUGGUGUUACUCACUGUUCCUCGGUUGUGGCAGGCAGAUCCAUAUUGUCCUGCUAAAAUGCAGCUCUCCUAUUUCCCCCAACAGGAUGGACAGUUUGUGAGAGUUGGUCAGUGUCGAUGCGCUGUGUGCACAAUCUCUGCUCUGCAGAGCCAUGAUCUCUUACAGCGGCCCGUCUCUAUGGCCAGUGUGUGUGCACUAAGUCUGUACUUUUCAUCGUGGUUCUGUGUUGUUCAGUCACUGUGCUCAGGUACUCGUACAGUGUACUCUCGAUUUAGGGUCAGAUAAAACUGCAUUAUACUUUGUGCUUGUGUUCUCCAAUGGGGAGAUGUUUUGUUUUUGAAGUGUUUUAAUACAUUAUGAAUAGAAUAAUUUGGUGAGGUUGAAUUUCCCUUGUGUCCAGCUGCUUCUGAUCAGUGUUGGUGUCUGUUCAGGACCAGUCACGUGCAUCAUUUCAGCUGGGUUUUUAUCCCACUGUGUAAGAUUUUGGUUUGUAACUGGUGCCCAGAUCUCAGGUGGAUUUGAUUGUGUAGAAUUCCCUGUGUGAUUUCUCUGUGCUGCUGAGUGGUCACCCUAGACACUCUGCUGUAAUCAUUGGUUGAGUGUCUACAUUCACCUCUUGACUGUAGACUAAUCAUCACACUGCGCAUACAAAGGUGCUAGAUUUUAUGUUAUACCAGCGUUGCUAACUGAUUAUUUGGUUAAAUUAGCUCAAAUUAUGUUUUAUCACUCCCCAUUUUGAACAUUUGAUUUUCAAGUCUAGUCAUUUCUGCCUAACAUAAGAUUGACAGGUAACACUAUGGUGGUUUGAAAAAGACACACCCAUUGCACACCAUCACUUGUACUACUUUACUAUUUAACUGCCUAAGCUCUGUCUAAGCUCGGGUUCUAUAGGCACCAACAUGCAGUACAUUCACAUAAAAUGACUGAAAAGCUGCUACAUAAACAUUCAUUUAAAGAGGGCUUUUCACCACCACAGCUUUUUAUACUUUGGCUUAAACUGUCCAUUUAAAUUUAGCCUUUGACAUUCCUCCUUAAUUUCUGGGUGACCUUUUAUUAAGAAAACAUUUAGCAUUGUUAUAAGUUCAUUAUUACCGGACUAACACUGUGGUCCCCAUCAAAAGGACUGGAACACUGUGUGAAACAUUACCUCGUUUUUAAACGUGCUGCAAAAAAAAAAGACGACUACAUUUAUUACAUAUCAAGUCCCAUGGAUGACUCUCUUCUACACAAAUACUUCAUUUGUCAAGUAUAUGGUCACACUGCUAAUCAUCAGUCUUUGAGAGUCUAUAGUAAGAUUCAACAUGCUCUACAAAUAAAUGUGACUACCAAUCAAAUCUGCACAUAGAACAAAUCAGUGCUGCAUUUUAUUUCUUAUACUGCAGUCUUUUAUUUGAUAUUUGGUUUAUUUAGGAGAAAUUGCAAUUUUACUGCUUGUCAUUUUAAAGGUUUGGUUUGAGUUUCUGCACAACGUAAGAUUUUCUGAUAUCAGUCUCAUUAUGUCUGCUUGGAAAGUCGUUCAGUUUUGCUUUAUUAUUAUUACUGUUAUCGUUGUUGUCAUUAUUAUUUUAAUAUUAAUAUCAUUAGUGUUAUUACUAUGUUUUUUAUUAUCGUUUAUUGCUAUUAAAACAAUGUGUGACCUUGCACACGACUUUAUUUAUUGUUUGCUUGUUAUAUUUACUACUUUUCUAUUCAAAUGCCUCCUAAGAGAGGUUUCUUUAGGCACACAAUACUGUACAUAAUGAAUUUACACAGAAUUGCAUAGCAUUUUUCCAGUAAACAGACAUUGUUCAUAGAGGCCUAUAAGAAAAGUCAGCAUUAGAGUUAAUUGUUGUUGUUUGUUAAUGUAUUAAGUGUAUAUCAGUAGAUUACAACUGAGGAUGGCGACUUCAGUCCGUGUUGCCAACCCAGAUGCCCCUGAAUAUCACCAGCAGGCCAUACUGGUGGCGACCAAAGAGGUUCGCCAGUACAGGGAAAAUAGGAUGGUCUUCCCUACACCUCCACUGGAGUUGCUGAACCACUCGACUGCCCUGACCCAUGCAGAGAAGAUCCUUGUGAAGAAGAGGUGAAAUGCACCUUUUCACUGGCUUGUUUCAAAUGUUGUGGGAUACAUGAAAUACGUAAUUGACAAGCACAGAGCUGAGGUGACAAACAUAAUGCAGUGAUCCUGAACCAGUGGGUGAAAGACUACCUCACUGAAUAUGCAGAGAGCUUCCACAAGUUUUCAUCCUCCUUGAGUCAGUCUGUCUGUUCGGUUGCCUUCUCAAGAUUCUCAACCGACCGACAAGCCCAAUCAGCCUGAUCCAGCCAUCAGGACAGGAAAUGGAAAGACCUAGAGCUGCUCGUCAAGGCUGUGAGAGCCAAGGAUCCGGCAGCCAUGAAAUCUGUGUCUGAUGAGGAUGUCGUCCGGCACUAAUGCCCCUUUUCCACCGAGGCAGUUUGAGUGCUGGUUCAGAGCCAGAGCCUAAUUUAGAACCAGUUCUUUCUGUUUUGACCGCCAAAGCACCGGCUCUGAACCAGGAAAAGUGGUU